AUGAACGCUAGCGGCAGGCUUAACACAUGCAAGUCGAGGGGCAGCAUAAUGGAUAGCAAUAUCUAUGGUGGCGACCGGCGCACGGGUGCGUAACGCGUAUGCAACCUACCUUUAACAGGGGGAUAACACUGAGAAAUUGGUACUAAUACCCCAUAAUAUCAUAGAAGGCAUCUUUUAUGGUUGAAAAUUCCGAUGGUUAGAGAUGGGCAUGCGUUGUAUUAGCUAGUUGGUGGGGUAACGGCUCACCAAGGCGACGAUACAUAGGGGGACUGAGAGGUUAACCCCCCACACUGGUACUGAGACACGGACCAGACUCCUACGGGAGGCAGCAGUGAGGAAUAUUGGUCAAUGGACGCAAGUCUGAACCAGCCAUGCCGCGUGCAGGAUGACGGCUCUAUGAGUUGUAAACUGCUUUUGUACGAGGGUAAACGCAGAUACGUGUAUCUGUCUGAAAGUAUCGUACGAAUAAGGAUCGGCUAACUCCGUGCCAGCAGCCGCGGUAAUACGGAGGAUUCAAGCGUUAUCCGGAUUUAUUGGGUUUAAAGGGUGCGUAGGCGGUUUGAUAAGUUAGAGGUGAAAUUUCGGGGCUCAACCCUGAACGUGCCUCUAAUACUGUUGAGCUAGAGAGUAGUUGCGGUAGGCGGAAUGUAUGGUGUAGCGGUGAAAUGCUUAGAGAUCAUACAGAACACCGAUUGCGAAGGCAGCUUACCAAACUAUAUCUGACGUUGAGGCACGAAAGCGUGGGGAGCAAACAGGAUUAGAUACCCUGGUAGUCCACGCAGUAAACGAUGAUAACUCGUUGUCGGCGAUACACAGUCGGUGACUAAGCGAAAGCGAUAAGUUAUCCACCUGGGGAGUACGUUCGCAAGAAUGAAACUCAAAGGAAUUGACGGGGGCCCGCACAAGCGGAGGAACAUGUGGUUUAAUUCGAUGAUACGCGAGGAACCUUACCCGGGCUUAAAUUGCAGAUGAAUUACGGUGAAAGCCGUAAGCCGCAAGGCAUCUGUGAAGGUGCUGCAUGGUUGUCGUCAGCUCGUGCCGUGAGGUGUCGGCUUAAGUGCCAUAACGAGCGCAACCCUUAUCUUUAGUUACUAACAGGUCAUGCUGAGGACUCUAGAGAGACUGCCGUCGUAAGAUGUGAGGAAGGUGGGGAUGACGUCAAAUCAGCACGGCCCUUACGUCCGGGGCUACACACGUGUUACAAUGGUAGGUACAGAGGGCAGCUACCCAGCGAUGGGAUGCGAAUCACGAAAGCCUAUCUCAGUUCGGAUUGGAGGCUGAAACCCGCCUCCAUGAAGUUGGAUUCGCUAGUAAUCGCGCAUCAGCCAUGGCGCGGUGAAUACGUUCCCGGGCCUUGUACACACCGCCCGUCAAGCCAUGGGAGCCGGGGGUGCCUGAAGUUCGUGACCGCAAGGAGCGACCUAGGGCAAAACUGGUGACUGGGGCU
rnacentral:rRNA from 1 species